CCAUCAAUGGUGGCAGGACGUGGUUGAGAGGAAGAGGAAGCUCCAAUAGCUCUACGACGAUGCCUUCUUGAAUCAGCCAUGGAGGAAUUUUAAGAAAAUGAAACUUUAAGAAGGUGAAGAGAGAUGGAGAGGAUUUGAGCUCUAGAUAUGAUUUCAGCAGUAUUUGGGUGCAAAGGAGUGUCUAAUAAUCGAUUAUGGGGGGCUAUUUAAAAGAAAAAUGGAAAAACUAGUCGUUUAUGGCCGUUUAUAGCCGUUAUGGGACGCUCCAACAACUCUAUUUUUGAAACUAUCAGCGUGAUAAUCGAUUAUGGCUCGAGAUAA
rnacentral:lncRNA from 1 species